GACGAACGCUGGCGGCGUGCUUAACACAUGCAAGUCGAACGGAAAGGCCCUGCUUUUGUGGGGUGCUCGAGUGGCGAACGGGUGAGUAACACGUGAGUAACCUGCCCUUGACUUUGGGAUAACUUCAGGAAACUGGGGCUAAUACCGGAUAGGAGCUCCUGCUGCAUGGUGGGGGUUGGAAAGUUUCGGCGGUUGGGGAUGGACUCGCGGCUUAUCAGCUUGUUGGUGGGGUAGUGGCUUACCAAGGCUUUGACGGGUAGCCGGCCUGAGAGGGUGACCGGCCACAUUGGGACUGAGAUACGGCCCAGACUCCUACGGGAGGCAGCAGUGGGGAAUAUUGCACAAUGGGCGGAAGCCUGAUGCAGCAACGCCGCGUGCGGGAUGACGGCCUUCGGGUUGUAAACCGCUUUCGCCUGUGACGAAGCGUGAGUGACGGUAAUGGGUAAAGAAGCACCGGCUAACUACGUGCCAGCAGCCGCGGUGAUAUGUAGGGUGCGAGCGUUGUCCGGAUUUAUUGGGCGUAAAGGGCUCGUAGGUGGUUGAUCGCGUCGGAAGUGUAAUCUUGGGGCUUAACCCUGAGCGUGCUUUCGAUACGGGUUGACUUGAGGAAGGUAGGGGAGAAUGGAAUUCCUGGUGGAGCGGUGGAAUGCGCAGAUAUCAGGAGGAACACCAGUGGCGAAGGCGGUUCUCUGGGCCUUUCCUGACGCUGAGGAGCGAAAGCGUGGGGAGCGAACAGGCUUAGAUACCCUGGUAGUCCACGCUGUAAACGGUGGGUACUAGGUGUGGGGUCCAUUCCACGGGUUCCGUGCCGUAGCUAACGCUUUAAGUACCCCGCCUGGGGAGUACGGCCGCAAGGCUAAAACUCAAAGGAAUUGACGGGGCCCCGCACAAGCGGCGGAGCAUGCGGAUUAAUUCGAUGCAACGCGUAGAACCUUACCUGGGUUUGACAUGGAUCGGGAGCGCUCAGAGAUGGGUGUGCCUCUUUUGGGGUCGGUUCACAGGUGGUGCAUGGCUGUCGUCAGCUCGUGUCGUGAGAUGUUGGGUUAAGUCCCGCAACGAGCGCAACCCUUGUUCACUGUUGCCAGCACGUUAUGGUGGGGACUCAGUGGAGACCGCCGGGGUCAACUCGGAGGAAGGUGGGGAUGACGUCAAGUCAUCAUGCCCCUUAUGUCCAGGGCUUCACGCAUGCUACAAUGGCUGGUACAGAGAGUGGCGAGCCUGUGAGGGUGAGCGAAUCUCGGAAAGCCGGUCUCAGUUCGGAUUGGGGUCUGCAACUCGACCUCAUGAAGUCGGAGUCGCUAGUAAUCGCAGAUCAGCAACGCUGCGGUGAAUACGUUCCCGGG
rnacentral:rRNA from 1 species